CUUAUUUGUUAUCCUUAAGUGGAAUUGCAAUAUUUAAGAACACCAAAUAAGGAAGCUAUCUACCAAACACAUAUACAUUUAUAUUCACACACAAUAGGUGUAUGUCUGUGUGUGUAGAUCUGUGGUUGUGUGUGUAUGUAUACACACUUAACCACAGAGAUAAAUACAAAAUCACACACAUAAACACAGACAUAUACAAACACAAUCACAGACUCACACACAUACAAUCAAUCACAUACACACAUAAUUAGAUAUACACACACACAAACAUCACAUACAAACACGUCACAUCCACCCAGCCUCCCUACUUUGCUCUGGGAUGGCUGGAGUGGAUCCUCAAUCCCAGGUGGUCAGUGGUUGCUGCUGGGAUCUAUGUGCUCUUCCUGCCCAGGUCCCUUGCACACACUGUAAUAAUGCUGAUGCCAGGAUGACGUUACAUGCAGGCUCACUGCAGGGUGAAGACAGUCAGACAUGGUCAGAUGCACACAGUUAUACACAUAUACUGUCAAAUACAGCCACAUGCACACAGUCCCAGACACAUAGUCACUCUCACACACAGUCAAACACACAGUUAUAGGCAGACAUUCACACACAAACAGUUGCAGACAGACAGUCACAUGCACACAGAGUAAUAGACAGUCACACGCACACAGCUACAGGUAGACAGUCACACACACAGGCACAAGCAUACAGUCACAGAGGCAGUCACAGGAAGACAGUAACACACACAGGCAGACAGUCACAGACACAGUCACAGGUAGACAGCCACACACAAGCAGACAGUCACAGACACAGUCACAGGCAGACAGUCUCACACACACACACAGUCACAGGCAGACAGUCACACACACUGUCACACACACAGUCGCAAUCAGAUAAUCACAGACACAGUCACAGACAGACAGUCACACACAUACACAGUCACAGGCAGCCACACAUAGUCACAGGUAGACAGUCACAUACACAGUCAAAGACUGUCACAAUCCCGGUUACAAACACUAUGGAGGAGUGGAGUCAGUGAAGUCCAUGGUGUGCAGUUGUUGGGGGAAGCAGUGACUCCUUCCUGCUUCCCAUCAGUAUGCUGCAGAAAGAGCAGAGAAUGGAGGCUACCUUUACUUCUGCCCCUGCAUCCGGGUUGGCUCCACCCCCAUGAUCCAUUUAGCUCUGCCCCCAAUGAUCCAUGAAGUUCUCCUGCUGUUCUCCCAU